CGCCCUCUGGCCUCUGCCGCAG
rnacentral:miRNA from 1 species